CGUUCGACACGGUUUCCUUCGA
rnacentral:miRNA from 1 species